rnacentral:rRNA from 1 species
UGGGGAAUAUUGGACAAUGGGCGCAAGCCUGAUCCAGCAAUGCCGCGUGUGUGAAGAAGGCCUUCGGGUUGUAAAGCACUUUUAUCAGGAGCGAAACGCUGUCGGCUAAUACCCGGCGGAACUGACGGUACCUGAGGAAUAAGCACCGGCUAACUUCGUGCCAGCAGCCGCGGUAAUACGAAGGGUGCAAGCGUUAAUCGGAAUUACUGGGCGUAAAGCGUGCGUAGGCGGUUUCUUAAGUCUGCUGUGAAAUCCCCGGGCUCAACCUGGGAAUGGCAGUGGAUACUGGGAGGCUAGAGUGUGUCAGAGGGUGGUGGAAUUCCCGGUGUAGCGGUGAAAUGCGUAGAGAUCGGGAGGAACAUCAGUGGCGAAGGCGGCCACCUGGGACAACACUGACGCUGAGGCACGAAAGCGUGGGGAGCAAACAGGAUUAGAUACCCUGGUAGUCCACGCCCUAAACGAUGCGAACUGGAUGUUGGUCUCAACUCGGAGAUCAGUGCCGAAGCUAACGCGUUAAGUUCGCCGCCUGGGGAGUACGGUCGCAAGACUGAAACUUAAAUGAAUUGACGGGGUCAUAGCUGUUUCC